GAUGAACGCUAGCUACAGGCUUAACACAUGCAAGUCGAGGGGUAACGAGAGGAAAGCUUGCUUUCCUUGUCGACGACCGGCGCACGGGAGAGUAACGCGUAUCCAACCUGCCCCCAACUAGGGAAUAACCUUGCGAAAGUAAGACUAAUACCCUAUAAUUUCCUCAGAUGUCAUCUGACGAGGAAUAAAGAUUUAUCGGUUGUGGAUGGGGAUGCGUCUGAUUAGCUUGUUGGCGGGGUAACGGCCCACCAAGGCAACGAUCAGUAGGGGUUCUGAGAGGAAGGGCCCCCACAUAGGAAGUGAGACACGGGCCAGAGUCCUACGGGAGGCAGGAGUGAGGAAUAUUGGUCAAUGGGCGGAAGCCUGAACCAGCCAAGUAGCGUGCAGGAUGACGGCCCUAUGGGUUGUAAACUGCUUUUAUACAGGAAUAAAGUUAGCCACGUGUGGUUAUUUGUAGGUACUGUAUGAGUAAGGACCGGCUAAUUCCGUGCCAGCCGCCGCGGUAA
rnacentral:rRNA from 1 species